rnacentral:misc_RNA from 1 species
GGGCACUGGAAGAUCUUCUCAAAUUGAGAGUUUUCGGGAUAAGAGUUUGUCAAAUGGAAUAUUCUUCCUUGAACUUCUAAGUGCUGUGGAACCAAGAGUGGUGAAUUGGAACCUUGUUACCAACGGUGAAAAUGAUGAUGAAAAGAGGUUGAAUGCUACAUACAUUAUCAGCGUCGCACGAAAGCUGGGUUGUUCCAUAUUUUUGUUACCUGAUGACAUAAUGGAGGUGAAUCCAAAAAUGAUCCUCACAUUAACUGCCAGCAUUAUGUAUUGGAGCCUUCAACAGCCCGUUGAAGAAAUGGAUAUCUCUCCUUCUCCUGCCACAGCUAGUACUAUCACAGAUAGAUCAACUACCUCGUCCAUCAAUGGUGAGGAUGAGAGCUCC